CAGGCCAACAUCGGUUCUGAGGGUCGGUCAAAGGCCUUGGGAAUGUAUCUACCUACGGGUAGACUUAUAGACCAGGGUGUCAUGCGGCCUCUCGGGACCGAGGAACGCGCUUCGGCUCGGAUGUUGGCGUAAUGGUUGUCAGCGA
rnacentral:rRNA from 1 species